CAUGCCAUGGGUGUGGCCAAAAAAAAAAAAACAACUCAGAAUAUUAUUCAGAGGGAAAUGGAAUAAUUAGACUAAAGACAAAUUUUUUUAAAAUAUUGAAUGAAAAGAGAAAUUUGCCAAAGGUGACAAAUGUAUGAUAUCCUUUCUAUGAUUUAUAACAAGAUAUACUAUUUAUGUUUAGAUGCAUCUAUACUAAAGUUCCUCCCAAAAAAUCCAAGAGUGCGAGAGACAAAUUGAGGGUAUUUGUUCUUUUUGCAAGGGUAGAAUGGGGGAAAGAAAAAAAAGAAUCAGGAGUUCAAGCUGGAUAGCUGAUACAAGGCAGAUUUUUAUAUAUUAUAUUAUUCCCUAAACUUUGCAUUCCUGCAGUAUUUCUUAAUAUGUUUUCGAAGAACAGGAUUACUUUUUUACUUCCACAUUCCCAAUUUAUUUCAAAAUGAAUAAGAGAGUUUCCAAGCAAUGCAUUUUCUCAGUUAAGAAUCUAUCCUCUAGAAACCACUGAAAUGUAAGGGACUUGCUUUCCCCUUUGACCUUUCCUGUUCUAUAAUUAGUGAGUCUCUCUCUGGCUUUGUCCUCUGUGGAUGAGGGACAUUCAUGUCUCGGAUACAAAACAGCACUCUAUUAGCAAGGCUGAUUGUUGAAGUUUAUGCAAAAUGUGGGCACUCUCAAGCACAGGUGAAAAAUAAUACCUGAAACAGAAGAAAGGCAUGUUUAAUUUACUAGAAGAAUGUCAAUAGGAUAAAGUCCAAGUUACACAUGAAUAUUGUCAGUGCCCCAUGAUGGCUCUGUCCACAUCUAAGUCCACAGCCACAAGAAAGGCUUCAUGUGGUCUAGGUCAGCUUUUCUCUGAUAAACAUUUAUCAUCCUCUUGGCAAAAGGGAAAGUAGGUAAUAUAAAUUCCAUUUUCUUAGCUUUGGCAUCUUAGCAGUGACACCAAUCGAACUAUGUAGAUUAACACAGAUGUUCAGUGCACUUGAAGCAAAGCUUUGAAAAAUCUGGCAGCCGAAAAAGAGACGAUAGAGGAGGAGAACUGAGAAGAAAAAGGAUGCAAAAGAAUCUCAAUGAUUUGAAAAAUGUAAGGUUGGAACCUUAAAACCUAUGGACACUCAAGAUAAAUUGGAGUCAUGUUGAUGAACGUUGUCCAUCUCUCCACAGAGACCCAGGCAUGGGCUAUGGACUAUGGGGCGGGGAACUAGUCUGACAUUAAACGUAGCCUCCAGAAGGUAACUGAGGACACUCCCAUAGUAUAAUUGCCACAAUGAGGGUGCACACACUAGAGCAAGGGGCCACAGAUAAAGGAAUAACUAAUGUGGAAUCUGACCCUCAGUCUGGGCCCUUGUGCUCCUCAUCCUCAAUCAAAGGGAUGAAGAGAAAAUUCCAAAACCAAAGAAGAACAACCACUCUCAUGGCAUUGUUUAAAUAUCUGGAAAAAGCGGUAUGAAUGAAGAGUGACUUUUUUUUUUUUUUUUUUUUUUUUGUGUGUGUGUCUUUUUAGAGCCACACCUGCAGCAUGUGGAAGUUCCCAGGCUAGAGGCUGAGUCAUAUCUGCAGCUGCUGGCCUAGGCCACAGCCACAGCAACGCAGGAUCUGAGCCGCAUCUGUGAUCUAUACUACAGCUCACGGCAACGCCAGAUCCUUAACCCACUGAGCGAGGCCAGGGAUGGAACCUGCAUCCUCAUGGAUACUAGUCAGGUUGUUACUGCUGAGCCAUUACAGGAACUCCAUGAGUGACUUUUUCAAUAUAUGUGCUAUGGGCUGAAGGGUGGUCCCCUCCCACCCAAAUUCCUCUGUUGAAAUCCUAAUCCCCAGGCCUCAGAAAUUGACUGUAUUUGAAGAUAGGGCCUUUAUACAUGGUGGACCCCAAUCUAUUUUUAUAGACACACACAGAGGAAAAUCAGAGAGAAGAUGACCCUCUGUAGGCCAAAGAGAGAGAGACCUUGGAAGAAACCAACCAAACCAAACCAACUCCCUUGAUCUCAGACUCCUAGCUUCCAGAUUGGUGGGAAAAUAAAUUAUUUAAGCCACCUUGUCUGUGAUACUUUGUUAUGUCAGCCAUAGGAAAUUAGUAAUACAACAUCAUACACUUAAAAUGACAGUUAAAAAAAAAAAAACCUCUGUGUUAAUCUAUAAUGUUCGAACCGUAUUAUUGAGUUUUAAAAAGUAGGCUAUGAAACACAUGUGUGUAGAAUGAUCCAAUUUUGAUAAAAUCAUGCAACUAUAUGCAUAAGUAUAGAUUUAAAAAGGUGAUAAAUGUUACUGCUAAUGAUUUUUUACUUUUUUCAUUAGGCUUUUCGGCAUUGGUCCGUUAUUUUAAUAGGCAUGUGCAUGGAUGAGCUCAAGUGGGAAUAAAUAUAGAGAGCACGAAGAGAAGGUAGCUCGGGGCAGAACCUUGGGGAAUGCUGAUGUGUAAGGGACAGGGGGUGGGAGCGAGCAAAGGCAACAAAGAAGAAUCAUCCGGGCAGGAGAGGACCUGCGGUGUAAUUCCAACGAUGCCAGUGGACGGCAGACUUUCAGAGGGAAUAGGGCUCUGCCUAGUGUGAAACGCUGCAGAGGAGGGCUGCGUGGAGUCUGGCUGUAGGAUGUUGCCCUCGGAAAUCAGGAGGUCAUGCGGUCCGCUGAGAGCCGCUGGAAGGAGCGGCGAGGCCAGUGUUAAGGGUCUGCGGAAAGAAUGGGCAGUGAGGAAGGAAUGCAGCAAAGUCACAAGCAGUGAUGAAAAUGACAGGCCUUCAGGUGCCAAAGCAGACUGUCAUCCUCAGACCAGGAAUAGCCCGAAUACAAACCUGGGGAUGUUGAGAUGCCAGUUACCCUAGAAACCCAGCGUAAAAUGCCCUAGCAACAUGUACCAAGCUGCUCUCUUCCGCAUGGUGCAGAAGUGUGUGAUUUGUCAGCUAGUCUAUAAUCUUUGAUUAAUGGGAAAGAUGUUUCUAUAAACCAAAGGCCUUGACAGUGUGAUCCCCAAGCAGCCCCUCUAGAACAGCACAGGGGAGGACAGCAGCCAGUAUGAUGUGUUAUCAGGAAGGCUCCAUGAUGUCACAGGACAUGUCUAUAAACUCAUUUGACUUCUGGGGAACACGCCUCCUUGUUGAGGUUCCCUGCCUCUUAUAGAGGUGCACCUGGGGAUGCGGAUUCAAUAAAAACUAGAGACAAAAACAGAAGGAGGGGGGAAGAACGUAGGUGUUUAGAAAGUGUGCACUCUAUUCCUCCACCUUAGCCAGGUGGCCCUGGGAUGGCCUCUCAUCAUGUGCGGCAAUCAUAUCUAUAUGCAGAUAACAAUACAUGUAUUUGAGCAUCAUGAUUCAAGCAGCAUAUUACACACGUUACUUGAAAUAUUUUAUUUCGUUUUGAUACAAUCCUAAAAUUAGGUGAAUACUUACCUCUUUUUUAUUGAGGAAUCUAAAACAUGGAAAAGCUAUUUUAUUUGCUUGAAUCACACAAAUUAUUAUGAUUAAUAUUAUCUUUUUUUUUUUGUCUUUUUUUUGUCCUUUUAGGGCUGGAUCAGGUUCCCAGGCUAGGCGUCUAAUCAGAGCUGUAGCCAGCAGUCUACACCAGAGCCACAGCAACCCCAGAUCCAAGCUGCAUCUGUGACUUACACCACAGCUCAUGGCAACCCGGGAUCUUUAACCCAUUGAGCAAGGCCAGGGACCGAACCUACAACCUCAUGGUUCCUGGUUGGAUUCAUCUUCACUGCACCACGACGGGAACUCCUGUUAUUAUUAUUAUUCAGGCCAUACCUGCGGCAUAUGGAAAUUCCCGGGCUAGGGGUUGAAUCAGACCUGCAGCUACUAGCCACAGCCACAGCAACACCAGAUCCAAGCCACAUCUGUCACCUAUGCCACAGCUUGCAGCAACACCAGAUCCUUAACCUACUGAGCGAGGGGUUAUCAAACCCGAAUCCUCAUGGAUCCUAGUCAGAUUCAUAACCCACUGAGCCACAAUGGGAAAUCUGAGAUCCACAAACUAUUUGAGUUAAGGUCACUCCUGGAUCUACAGAGGGUACAAAGUGGCUUUUUUUUUUUCUUUUAUCUUUAGUUUUUUUUCUUCCAUAUGCACCUGCAGCAUAUGGAAGUUCCUGGGCUAGCAGUUGAGUGGGAACUGCAGCUGCUGGCCUACACCAAAGCCACAGCAACACCAGAUCCAAGCUGCAUCUGCAACCUAUGCCACAGCUUGUGGCAACGCCGAAUCUUUAACCCACUAAGCAAGGCCAGGGAUGGAACCUGCAUCCUCGAGAUGCUAUGUUGGGUUCUUAACCCACUGAGCUCCAAGGGGAACGCCACGAAGUGACUUCAGACAUUGUAUCUCCCACUGAGGAACUUGCACCCUGGUAAAAUAAAUGAGGCACAGCUAGAAUCAUCAACACCUCAAAGCGGCACGUAAUUGCUGAAUGAGAAGGUCCAGGUGUUCGCCCACACCUAGGGGCAACCAGAAGAUUGCUGAAAGGAGGUUGCUUUCUACUUUGGCUUCAAGGGGUAGGAAGAAUUUUAAUAAGUGGAGAGGCCUUUUACCGCAAAAUCAAAAUAAUAUCUGUUUGGCUACCUUCAUUUCUUUCUGUCAGUCCUUCCCAGUUCUUUUCAAGCUCUCUCUAAACGACAAGGCAUCACUAGCCCUAAGAGCUUUUUAUUCCCAUUGGCUUGUAUCUCCCUCAGGGCACUGAGAUUCUUCAGCAACAGCAGACAGAGCUGGGCAUGCUCAGAUGCCAAAAGGGGCCUUGAUUGCUGAAUAGCUGUGGCCAGGAUAGCCCAGUUAUGGUGACUUUGGUAAAGGACACCAGCCCGCUUCCCUUUGGAUUGGUAUCUCAAUGCUGUGUGGACCGGUUUCUAGGGAGGCCUGGUCUGAGGCAACAGGAAUUCACCCUGAAGGCUUGGCUCUGUCCUGUGACAAAGGUGUUACUUGAAUUCACCUUCAAUUAUUGUCUGUUAAUAAAAAUUCUAAAAUUGUCUCUUUACAGUUGGAGGAGAGAGGGACUGAUGGUCAAUUUCACACCUGUGAGCAGGUGACAUGACCAUUGAUGGCAAAGUCCAUUCAUCUGGACAUUCUCCCAGGGCUCUCUAGCUCUCUCUAAAUCUGUCUCUAAUUGCUCUACCAGAACGGAGUAAGCAAUUGUUUAAAAAUAAAUCAGUUCUGGAAUUCCCAUCCUGGCUCAGUGGUUAACGAAUCCAACUAAGAACCAUGAGGUUGCCGGUUCAAAACCUGGCCUCGCUCAGUGGGCGUUGCCGUGAGCUGUGGUGUCGGUUGCAGACAAGGCUCGGAUCUGGUGUUGGUGUGGUUCUGGUGUAGGCGGGUGAUUAUACCCCUGGCCUGGGCUGGGAACCUCCAUAGGCCACAAGUGUGGCCCUAGAAACAACAACAACAAUGAAAAAUCAGUUUUUAAAAUAUUCACAAGAAUUUUUACAUUGCUUGUAAUCAAUUGUCUGUAAUUCUGUAAUCAGAAGGGAGAGGGUAUGUUUUUAGCAGAGGAUAAGUUCUUUAAGAAGAGGGUAAUUUCUGGAUACUACAGAAAACGAGUCAAAAAAUAUUGAAGAAAAAUCAGAGAGUAAUUUGCUCUUAUAAAAAAAAAAUAUUUCUGGAAUUCCUGUAGUGGAAACAAAUCUGACUAGGAACCAUGAGGUUUCGGGUUCAAUCCCUGGCCUUGCUCAGUGGGUUAAGGGGUGUGGCUGUGGCUGUGGUGUAGACUGGCAGCUGUAGCUCCAAUUAGACCCCUAGCCUGGGAACCUCCAUAUGCUGUGGGUGUAACACUAAAAAGCAAAAAAAAAAACAACUAUUUCUUUUGAGAGAAAAAGGUCAUGACAAUUGAUUAACUCAGCUGAAAGAAACCUCAACAACUUAAGAAAAGCUUUCAGUGGGCAAAAAAAAUAAAUGAAACGAUUGCAAUGUUAGUUUCACAUUUUGACCUAUAGGAAAGGCUGGAGGUAUUUUGAUAGCUUUAAAAGCAUAUGUAAGUUACAAGGACACUCUUCUCCAUCACUUCAGAAGAGGAGUUUAAUUUUAAGGACAAUGAAGAUUACAUAAUU
rnacentral:lncRNA from 1 species